AUGGGGAGACCCUGGCAGCUGUUCCCACGCCUGCUGCUACUGCUGGUGAACAUUCCCUGGGGGAGCUGCCAGGCCGAGGUUCAGCAGAACCUGUCUGCGGUCACUUGGGAAGGGCAGAACGGCAGCAUCUCUUGCCACUACACGACGAGCACGUUCAGGAGUUUGCAGUGGUUCAGGCAGCUUCCCGGAGGCCAGCCUGCCUUCCUGCUGAUUCUGGUGUCCGAUGGGAAACAAACCAAGGAGCCCAACCUCACCGCAGAGCUGGACAAGGGGAAGCGGCUGAGCUCGCUGCAUAUCAGAGAAUCACAGCUGGGAGACGCAGCCACCUACUUCUGCGCCGUGGCGACACGGUGA